GCUGCAUAAAAAAAAAUCAGACCUUUAUUAGUACAUAAAUUAUUAAUACUAAAGACUUGGACUUUAGUCUAAAGUUUCUCCCAGUAUUUUUACGAACUGGUAGCCUCAACCUCCAAUUCGAGGAAUUACUUUAAUUCCUUAGUGGGUACCAGAAUCCACACAGACCACACACGAGCCCAACUUUGGUUGGUCAACCCAUGUGCAUCUAUGGGUAGGUUCAUAACCAGUUGUUUCUCUAAACAACUUCUAGUAAUUAAUUUUGCCCCAGAACCUAAUCAGUAGGCUUUGGCCUCCACUGAAAAGAUCUGGUUAGGUCCAACCAUUAACAUGACUUGAUUUGGUGAAUCGGACCAAUAAAUAAUCAGGCCCGACUUUGACCGGCCAACCUAACCACCAUCAGAAAGACUCAACCAAAUUAUCAUAUUAUGAAUGAUAAUUCCAUUAGUCAAUAAGCACCAGGCCUUUGGACCUCCAGUGAUUAUUAAACUAAUGGACUCAUUAUCACUCACUUAAUGGGGGGCUAUGACUU
rnacentral:lncRNA from 1 species